UGCUCGCUUCAGCAGCACAUAUGCUAAAAUUG
rnacentral:snRNA from 1 species